AGUAAAGUGGCGUACGGGUGAGUAACACGUGGAUUAUCUGCCUCUUAGUGGGGAAUAACUCUGGGAAACCGGAGCUAAUACCGCAUAAGCCUGGGAAGGGAAAGUCGCAAGACGCUGAGAGAGGAGUCCGCGGCCGAUUAGCUAGUUGGCAGGGUAAAAGCCUACCAAGGCAUCGAUCGGUAGCCGGCCUGAGAGGGCACACGGCCACACUGGCACUGAAACACGGGCCAG
rnacentral:rRNA from 1 species